UUUGGCACUAGCACAUUUUUGUGUUGAGACUGUUAACAAAACUGUGAUAGUGUCAAGU
rnacentral:pre_miRNA from 1 species